rnacentral:rRNA from 1 species
UACAGAGGUCUCAAGCGUUGUUCGGAUUCAUUGGGCGUAAAGGGUGCGUAGGCGGCGCGGUAAGUCGGGUGUGAAAUCUUGGAGCUUAACUCCGAAACUGCAUUCGAUACUGCCGUGCUUGAGGACGGGAGAGGAGACUGGAAUUUACGGUGUAGCGGUGAAAUGCGUAGAUAUCGUAAGGAAGACCAGUGGCGAAGGCGGGUCUCUGGACAGUUCCUGACGCUGAGGCACGAAGGUCAGGGGAGCAAACGGG